GACGAACGCUGGCGGCGUGCCUAAUACAUGCAAGUAGAACGCUGAAGGAGGAGCUUGCUUCUCUGGAUGAGUUGCGAACGGGUGAGUAACGCGUAGGUAACCUGCCUGGUAGCGGGGGAUAACUAUUGGAAACGAUAGCUAAUAUCGCAUAAGAGUAGAUGUUGCAUGACAUUUGCUUAAAAGGUGCAAUUGCAUCACUACCAGAUGGACCUGCGUUGUAUUAGCUAGUUGGUGGGGUAACGGCUCACCAAGGCGACGAUACAUAGCCGACCUGAGAGGGUGAUCGGCCACACUGGGACUGAGACACGGCCCAGACUCCUACGGGAGGCAGCAGUAGGGAAUCUUCGGCAAUGGACGGAAGUCUGACCGAGCAACGCCGCGUGAGUGAAGAAGGUUUUCGGAUCGUAAAGCUCUGUUGUAAGAGAAGAACGAGUGUGAGAGUGGAAAGUUCACACUGUGACGGUAUCUUACCAGAAAGGGACGGCUAACUACGUG
rnacentral:rRNA from 1 species